CCUACGGGAGGCUGCAGUGAGGAAUAUUGGUCAAUGGACGCAAGUCUGAACCAGCCAUGCCGCGUGCAGGAAGACGGCUCUAUGAGUUGUAAACUGCUUUUGUACGAGGGUAAACGCAGAUACGCGUAUCUGUAUGAAAGUAUCGUACGAAUAAGGCUCGGCUAACUCCGUGCCAGCAGCCGCGGUAAUUCGGAGGAUUCAAGCGUUAUCCGGAUGUAUUGGGUUUAAAGGGUGCGUAGGCGGUCGGAUAAGUUAGAGGUGAAAUCCCGAGGCUCAACUUCGGAAUUGCCUCUGAGACUGUUCGGCUAGAGAGUAGUUGCGGUAGGCGGAAUGUAUGGUGUAGCGGUGAAAUGCUUAGAGAUCAUACAGAACACCGAUUGCGAAGGCAGCUUACCAAGCUACUUCUGACGUUGAGGCACGAAAGCGUGGGGAGCAAACAGGAUUAGAUACCCCUGUAGUC
rnacentral:rRNA from 1 species